UACGGAGGGGGCUAGCGUUGUUCGGAAUUACUGGGCGUAAAGCGCACGUAGGCGGCUUUGUAAGUCAGAGGUGAAAGCCCGGGGCUCAACCCCGGAAUAGCCUUUGAGACUGCAUCGCUAGAAUUGUGGAGAGGUAAGUGGAAUUCCGAGUGUAGAGGUGAAAUUCGUAGAGAUCGGAAAGAACACCAACGGCGAAAGUACUCUGCUGGGCCGACACUGACACUGAGAGACGAAAGCUAGGGGAGCGAAUGGG
rnacentral:rRNA from 1 species